GGUGACGCGUGCCCAGCGGCCGCGGGUGUAGCGGGGGUGCAACCGUGUGUCGCGAUCACUGGGGGUUAGGCGCGUGUAGGCGGCUCCCGAAGGCUGAUGUGAAAGCCCGGGGCGCCCCCCCGGAAGUGCAGUGGGAACUGGCGGGCUCGAGUCCCGGCGGGGAGGGUGGAAUUCCUGGUGUAGCGGUGAAAUGCGUAGAUAUCAGGAGGAACACCGGUGGCGAAGGCGGCCCUCUGGACGGUGACUGACGCUGAGACGCGAAGGCGUGGGGAGCAAACAGGAUUAGAUACCCCUGUAGUC
rnacentral:rRNA from 1 species